rnacentral:lncRNA from 1 species
UGAGAUAAUCCGAAUGCUGGUCGGAUUCACUGGAAGGAGAAAAAGGUCGUGCGGCAACAAGGAUGACCAUAUCGCCUUGAGCACGACAACGUAUAUAGUGUGGCAAAGGGAACAGAAGUAUGAAGUACAUGUUCGCCUAACCAGCUUCAUCGGACACUUGGAGUCGGAACGUCUUGCUAGAGACCGCUACCCACUAGCCGAGUUAGACGUGGUCUGAAUCGCGACCAAGUGAACGAGAACCUAAAGGGUCGCGCACUUAAAGGAAGG